rnacentral:lncRNA from 1 species
UUCGGACAGAUCAGCACUUAAAAACUUGUUCGUGAAGGCGUAGAAUACAGUUUUGCAGAAUUAAAACGUAAAUGUAAACUGUAAUGUACGAAAACACCGAUUUACGUCUGAAUGCAGAUUCGGAAAGAACAGCACUUAGAACUUGUUCGUAAAAGCGCAGAGAGCAGUAGUUAUGAAGGAGAUUUGCAGUAAUGAUAAAGUGCUCAAAAUAAAUGCAAACCAGAGAUUUAGAGUGGUUCGGUCAGUCUUGACCUACUCCACUUUUGGCUUCCUCCACCGACGAGGUCACCGACGUCAACUAGAGGCCUUCCUUCAAUAGGCGAAGGCCAACUGCCCUUUUAUAGUUUCUCUCCUUUUGACAGGCUCAGGAGACAACCUUUACAGACCUUUCUCUCCUCACUUUACAACACAAAAACUUGAAGAACAGAAGGAGGAGACUUAAAGGCUUUACAACACUUUUGAGCUCUUAGAAUCACAGAAAAGAUCAAGAUUUCGGUGUAGGUCUGUAUCUUUUCAGUGCUGAAUGGGUGGGGUAUUUAUAGGCCCCAACCCAGUUCAAAUUUGGAGCUCAAAACGAUCAAAUCUCGGAAUUCCGGGAUCAGGCGGUUGCACCUCUUGACUGGAGAGGUUGCACCGCCUGGCAGAGCUCGAAGACCAAGCUCAGGCGGUGCCACCUCUCUGUCAGGGAGGUUGCACCGCCUAGUCUUGCUCGAAGACUGAGCUCAGGCGGUGCCACCUCUCUGUCAGGGAGGUUGCACCGCCCAGUCUUGCUCGAAGACUGAGCUCAGGCGGUGCCACCUCCCGGCUGGGGAGGUUGCACCACCCAGUCUCACUGGGAGGCUUAGCCCAGGCGGUGCCACCUCCUGGCCUAGGCGGUUGCACCUCCUGGUGCAAUCAGGGUCCGAAUGGUUAGCUCCAUUCGGCCCAAUUUCAGUCUUUCAGGGGCCCAAUUGCCCCCAAGAUUAAGCUAAUGGGAUCACCUCCCAUUUUCCAAAUUAAUCAACGUGCUAACUACGAUUAAAUCUGAGACAAUUUCUGCAGCUUUGCUUCGGUGCGUCAAUCGCUCCUUCCGGCGAGUUUCCGGCGAACUUCCGUCGAUCAUCCGAUGAACCCUAGGCGAAGGCCAAACUGCCCUUUUACAAUUUCUCUCCUUUUGACAGGCUCAGGAGACAACCUUUACAGACCUUUCUCUCCUCACUUUACAACUGAAAACUUGAAGAACAGAAGGAGGAGACUUAAAGGCUUUACAACACUUUUGAGCUCUUAGAAUCACAGAAAAGAUCAAGAUUUCGGUGUAGGUCUGUAUCUUUUCAGUGCUGAAUGGGUGGGGUAUUUAUAGGCCCCAACCCAAUUCAAAUUUGGAGCUCAAAACAAUAAAAUCCCAGAAUUCUGGGAUCAGGCGGUUGCACCUCUUGACUGGAGAGGUUGCACAGCCUGGCAGAGCUCGAAGACCGAGCUCAGGCGGUGCCACCUCUCUGCCAGGGAGGUUGCACCGCCCAGUCUUGCUCGAAGACUGAGCUCAGGCGGUGCCACCUCUCUGUCAGGGAGGUUGCACCGCCCAGUCUAGCUCGAAGACUGAGCUCAGGCGGUGCCACCUCCCAGCUGGGG